rnacentral:lncRNA from 1 species
AUGUUUUGUUCUUUAUUGCUAUCCCUUUGUUUUCUUCUAAUCUUGUUGUCUUCAAUAUCAGCUUGGCUAUGCUGUGGGAAGACAAGUGAUGCCUGGGGUAAGGACAUGUAUGUGGCCUGCAGUGUCUUCAGCAGUGUUAGAGCAUCCAAGGAACACGGAGGAUACUGUCAAACGAGGUUUAGAGGAGUUCUAGAAUGGCAAAAUGAUGCUGAGGCCCUGGAUUCCACUCCUUACACAAAAGAGAAAGGUGAAAGGGGGGAGGAAGAGAGGAAGAAGGUGGGGAGGAGGAGGAAGGCAAGGGGAAGCAGGAGGAAGAGAGGAGGGAAAGAGGAUGAGGAGGAAGAGGGGAGGGGCUAGGGAUGGGAAGGAAGAGGAGUAGGAACAGGAAGCUGCCUAGAGAGGAGAUGUGGCGGCAGGCCAGGUGGUGGUGGUAGUAGAGUCACCAGUGAAAGUCAGUUCAGUCCUCUAGCUGCCUUUCUCCUCACAGACUCCAGUACAGAAGGGGACUUCUUCAGCUGCCUGAGGCCUGUGAGUACCAGCUGCAGAUUAGGAACUGAGCUAAAUGCCAGGUUCUUAAAUGUUGCACGUGGGAGCAUCUGAAACAGAUCUGAGUCACUUGGACUCUUCCUUAAACACCCACACAACAGAGACGGACCCCAGUGCAUAGGAGGAGAGCAGAGCAGCUGCACACCUCAGAAGACUCGGCUGUUUGAACCCAUGCUCCUUCACUCUCUUGCUUUAGAAGUGGGAUUUCCAUCGGCUUUUCUGAACACUGAGAAUUUAGACUUCUCCAGAUAGGGAGGAUAUUAGCUAACUGCAGUUUUCAAUAGCUUUUUAGAGAAACACUGUGUUCAAUUGCUUUCCAGUUUCAUUUCUAACAUACUCCUACCCCAAAUCUGGGAAUUUAUAAAAUCCCACCAGAUGUUGACAGGGUGAAUUGUUUAAUAUUGAUGAAAUUCAGCAACAGAUUUUCAUGUGUGUUUUUUGGUUGCCCCAAGACAACAGGUCUCUAACCACUGUGGGAAAAUGUAAAGCAUAAAACUCAGAGUUCAAAUCCUUUUUAAGGAAAUAAUUCUUCAUAAACCUAAUAACAAACACAUACCAAAUUUGUCAUCUUAAGUAUUUUUAGUGUAUGCAGUGUGUAGCCCUAGGUACAUGCACACAAAAUUCUAGAAUGUUCUUAUUGGCAGAAAUGAUGGGGGAUGUCCUUCUGUAUGCUGUGAAUAUAUGUUUCUCUUAUUGGUUGAUGAAUAAAACUGUUGUGACCUAUUGACA